rnacentral:lncRNA from 1 species
GGCUUUCUUCUUCCUCCACUAUCUGUAAUUCUUAAACUGUUCUCCAGCCCUUUCUUUAGUCCUAAUUUGGUAUUCUAAGGAAUGACACUUAAUUCACUCAUAUGUUGAAGAAAGCAUUGCUGAAGACAUGGGGAAUUAGUCAGCAGCAUUCCAGGUUUUCAUCAGCUGGGAAACCAAAGCAAAGGAUGGAUUUGCAAGCACCAGUAAGUGUAAGAGAUGUCGAUGCCACCCACCUGUAAGUUGAGCCCGUGAAACAAGGCACUUACUGUCAAUGCACCACCCCUUGGAUCCAACUCCCUUUCAACCAACAGCCUGGACUAUUUCACAAGAUCAGUGACACAGUGCUUAUACGAUGCUUUAGAUCCUCCCUGGUGGCCGACUCCUCCAUCACUCCAGUACCGAGGCUUCUGCACAACUCACUGCAUCCACAGGAC